rnacentral:antisense_RNA from 1 species
GGUUUCAUUUUCCAUUUACCAACUUGCAAAAUUAGUAAACUUGGAAAACAUCCCCAUGGUUAAUUGAGAAACAAGAACUCCAAACUACCCAGAGAUAACAACACUCGGUUUAGGGCAGUAUUUGCUCAGAUUGGUGUUUUUUUUGUUGUUGUUUUUGUGUUUUUGAGACAGGGUCUCUCACUCUGUCGCCCAGGCUGGAGUGCAGAGGCACGAUCUCAUCUCAUUGCAACCUCCACCUGCCAGGCUAAAGCAAUCCUCUCACCUCAGCCUCCCACGUAGCUGAGGCGGGAGAAUCCCUUGAACCCAGGAGGCAGAGAUUGUGGUGAGCCAAAAUUGCACCAAUGCACUCCAGCCUGGGCAGCAGAGCAAGACAGUCUCAAAAAAUAAUAUAAAAUAAACAUAAAGGCAGUAACAAGCACUGGGGAAUACACAGAGGAACUGGAAUCCUGGUACAUGCAUUGCUGUUGAGAAU